rnacentral:rRNA from 1 species
GACGAACGCUGGCGGCGUGCUUAACACAUGCAAGUCGAACGGAAAGGCCUGUCCUUCCUUGUUUUGGCCGGGUCCUCGAGUGGCUAACGGGUGAGUAACACGUGUGUGAUCUGCCCCCAACUUGGUUAUAAGCCUGGGAGACUGUGUCUAAUUCCCUAUAGGACUGCAGGGUGGUGCCUGUGGUGGCGAACGUUUUUCUAGUGGUUGGUGAUUAGCUGGCGGCCUAUCAGCUUGUUGGUGGGGUAAUGGCCUACCAAGGCGGGGACGGGUAGCCGGCGGGGGAGGGGGGACAGCGACAUUGGGACGGGGUCACGGCUCAGACGCCAACGGGAAGCAGCAGUGGGGAAGAAUGCAGAAUGAGCGGAAGGCAGAUGCAGCGACGGAGCGUGGGGGAUGACGGGAUUGGGGUUGUAAACUCCUUGCGACCGCGAGGAAGGCGAGUGGUUGGAAGGGUGGUGACGGUAGUGGUAGAAGAAGCACCGGCUAACUACGUG